AGGACGAACGCUGGCGGCGCGCCUAACACAUGCAAGUCGAGCGAGAACCAGGGCUUGCCCUGGGGAAAGCGGCGAACGGGUGCGUAACACGUGAGUAACCUGCCCCAAAGACCGGGACAACCCGAGGAAACUCGGACUAAUACCGGAUGCCCUCACCGGGCCGCAUGGUCUGGUGAGGAAAUGGAUUCCGCUUUGGGAUGGGCUCGCGGUCUAUCAGCUUGUUGGUGGGGUAACGGCCUACCAAGGCGACGACGGAUAGCUGGUCUGAGAGGACGAUCAGCCACACUGGGACUGAGACACGGCCCAGACUCCUACGGGAGGCAGCAGUGGGGAAUCUUGCGCAAUGGGGGAAACCCUGACGCAGCGACGCCGCGUGCGGGAUGAAGGCCUUCGGGUUGUAAACCGCUUUCAGCAGGGACGAAAUUGACGGUACCUGCAGAAGAAGGCCCGGCCAACUACGCGCCAGCAGCCGC
rnacentral:rRNA from 1 species